CCUACGGGUGGCAGCAGUGGGGAAUAUUGCGCAAUGGGCGAAAGCCUGACGCAGCGACGCCGCGUGAGGGAUGAAGGUCUUCGGAUCGUAAACCUCUGUCAGCAGGGAAGAAAGGUCACUGUGCUAAUCAGCAGUGAAUUGCCGGUACCUGCAAAGGAAGCACCGGCUAACUACGUGCCAGCAGCCGCGGUAAUACGGAGGGUGCGAGCGUUAAUCGGAAUUACGGGGCGUAAAGCGCUCGUAGGCGGUAUGUCAAGUCAAGUGUGAAAUCCCCGCGCUCAACGUGGGAACUGCCUUUGAAACUGGCGAACUGGAGUGUUUGAGAGGAUAGUGGAAUUCCAGGUGUAGGAGUGAAAUCCGUAGAUAUCUGGAGGAACAUCAGUGGCGAAGGCGACUAUCUGGCACAUAACUGACGCUGAGGAGCGAAAGCGUGGGUAGCAAACAGGAUUAGAUACCCUAGUAGUC
rnacentral:rRNA from 1 species